CAUGCAGUCGACUGAAACUUAAGAUAGCAAUAUUUUAAGGGAGGUGGCGCACGGGUGAGUAACACGUAGGUAAUCUGCCUUUAGGACUGACAUAACCCAGAGAAAUCUGGGCUAAUAUCAGAUGAUGCAGCGGCUCGACAUCGAGACAGUUGUUAAACCUUCGGGGCCUAAAGAUGAGCCUGCGUCUGAUUAGGUAGUUGGCGGGGUAAUGGCCCACCAAGCCAUCGAUCAGUAGCUGGUCUGAGAGGAUGAUCAGCCACACUGGAACUGAGACACGGUCCAGACUCCUACGGGAGGCAGCAGUAAGGAAUAUUGCUCAAUGGCCGAAAGGCUGAAGCAGCAACGCCGCGUGGAGGAUGAAAUACUUUUGUAUGUAAACUCCUGUGGGAAAGGAAAAAUAUGCAUAUUUUCUGCGUUGAUUGUACCUUCAGAGGAAGCCCCGGCUAACUACUUGCCAGCAGCCCGCGGUAAUACUGUAGGGGGCGACAGUUGUCCAGAUUUACUGAGUGUUAUGGGGUGCUC
rnacentral:rRNA from 1 species